rnacentral:pre_miRNA from 1 species
CGUGCACUGGUGGGGUCCCUCGGCCUGGCCUGUGCCCUCUCGCAAAUCAGGACCCCUUGGGGGAUGUCAGUCGGUUUGGGUCCAAUCCCGCAGGCCAGGCCGAGGGACCCCACUGGUGCACG